GCAGCAGGCGCGAAAUACCCACUCCCAGCACGGGGAGGUAGUGACGAAAAAUAACAAUACAAGACUCACAUCCGAGGCCUUGUAAUUGGAAUGAGUACACUUUAAAUCCUUUAACAAGGAUCAAUUGGAGGGCAAGUCUGGUGCCAGCAGCCGCGGUAAUUCCAGCUCCAAUAGCGUAUAUUAAAGUUGUUGCGGUUAAAACGUUCGUAGUUGAACUUGUGUUCCGCACGGGCAGUACCUAAGACUAGGCAACUAGGACGGUACUUUGUCUUAUCUUUCCAUGUUCAUUUUAAUGAAUAGGAAAAAGUGCGUGAGCGUAUUAUCGGCGUGUUCGUUCUUGUAGCGUUCACAUAAGCCCAUUUCAGUGCUCUUUACCGAGUGUUGUUGUGGGCCGAUACAAAUUACUUUGAACAAAUUAGAGUGCUUAAAGCAGGCUUGUAAUGCCUGAAUAUUUUGUGCAUGGAAUAAUGAAAUAGGACAUCUGUUCUACUUUCAUUGGUUUUUUAGACCAAGAUGUAAUGAUUAAUGGAAGCAGUUGGGGGCAUUAGUAUUACAACGCGAGAGGUGAAAUUCUUAGACCGUUGUAAGACUGACUAAAGCGAAAGCAUUUGCCAAAGAUGUUUUCAUUUAAUCAAGAACGAAAGUUAGAGGUUCGAAGGCGAUCAGAUACCGCCCUAGUUCUAACCAUAAACGAUGCCAGCUAGCAAUUGAGUGUAGCUACUACUAUGGCUCUUUCAGUCGCUUCUCGGGAAACCAAAGCUUUUGGGCUCCGGGGGAAGUAUGGUUGCAAAGCUGAAACUUAAAGGAAUUGACGGAAGGGCACCACCAGGAGUGGAGCCUGCGGCUUAAUUUGACUCAACACGGGAAAACUUACCAGGUCCGAACAUAAAUGAGUAAGACAGAUUGAUAGCUCUUUCUCGAAUCUAUGGGUGGUGGUGCA
rnacentral:rRNA from 1 species